rnacentral:rRNA from 1 species
AUCUUCUUUGAAGGUAUGCUUAAGGAGGGGCUUGCGACACAUUAGUUAGUUGGCAGGGUAAAGGCCUACCAAGACUAUGAUGUGUAGCUGGACUGAGAGGUUGAACAGCCACAUUGGGACUGAGACACGGCCCAAACUCCUACGGGAGGCAGCAGUAGGGAAUUUUCGGCAAUGGAGGAAACUCUGACCGAGCAACGCCGCGUGAACGAUGAAGUACCUCGGUAUGUAAAGUUCUUUUAUUAAGGAAGAAAAAAGAGUGGAAAAACUCCCUUGACGGUACUUAAUGAAUAAGCCCCGGCUAAUUAUGUGCCAGCAGCCGCGGUAAUACAUAAGGGGCGAGCGUUAUCCGGAAUUAUUGGGCGUAAAGGGUGCGUAGGCGGUUUAAUAAGUCUAUAGUUUAAUUUCAGUGCUUAACGCUGUUGUGCUAUAGAAACUGUUUUACUAGAGUGAGAUAGAGGCAAGCGGAAUUCCAUGUGUAGCGGUAAAAUGCGUAAAUAUAUGGAGGAACACCAGAGGCGUAGGCGGCUUGCUGGGUCUUUACUGACGCUGAGGCACGAAAGCGUGGGGAGCAAACAGGAUUAGAUACCCUGGUAGUCCACGCCGUAAACGAUGAGUACUAAGUGUCGGGUAAAACUGGUACUGAAGUUAACACAUUAAGUACUCCGCCUGAGUAGUACGUACGCAAGUAUGAAACUUAAAGGAAUUGACGGGACUCCGCACAAGCGGUGGAUCAUGUUGUUUAAUUCGAAGAUACACGAAAAACCUUACCAGGUCUUGACAUUUUCUUGCGAAGUUAUAGAAAUAUAAUGGAGGUUAUCNNAAAACAGGUGGUGCAUGGUUGUCGUCAGCUCGUGUCGUGAGAUGUUAGNNUAAGUCCUAAAACGAGCGCAACCCUUGUCGUUAAUUGCCAGCAUGUAAUGAUGGGGACUUUAACGAGACUGCCAAUGA